rnacentral:rRNA from 1 species
AUUGAACGCUGGCGGCAGGCCUAACACAUGCAAGUCGAACGGUAACAGGAAGCAGCUUGCUGCUUCGCUGACGAGUGGCGGACGGGUGAGUAAUGUCUGGGAAACUGCCUGAUGGAGGGGGAUAACUACUGGAAACGGUAGCUAAUACCGCAUAACGUCGCAAGACCAAAGAGGGGGACCUUAGGGCCUCUUGCCAUCGGAUGUGCCCAGAUGGGAUUAGCUAGUAGGUGGGGUAACGGCUCACCUAGGCGACGAUCCCUAGCUGGUCUGAGAGGAUGACCAGCCACACUGGAACUGAGACACGGUCCAGACUCCUACGAGAGGCAGCAGUGGGGAAUAUUGCACAAUGGGCGCAAGCCUGAUGCAGCCAUGCCGCGUGUAUGAAGAAGGCCUUCGGGUUGUAAAGUACUUUCAGCGGGGAGGAAGGGAGUAAAGUUAAUACCUUUGCUCAUUGACGUUACCCGCAGAAGAAGCACCGGCUAACUCCGUG